AGUGCGUCCACGCUUAAUUGGUUGCACAAAGACCAAGCCAGGAUGAUCAGACACGGAUUCAUCAAGCCAGGUGAAACCAAUCCUGGAUAGGUGCGCGCUCACGGCUCACUCAACUAGACCCCGCCACCGAUCACAGAUUCACCGAUUCACCAUGGCAACUAGCGGCGUUCUUUUCCCCGUCAGAGGCACAAAUCCAUACGAGGAGGUAAAAGACAUAAUUAAGAAGAAAGGCAACACCGCCACAGUGGUAAAGCAGAGAGAAAAAGCGUGGCAAAGUAUUGCAGACCGCCUGAAUGCGUCAUUUUGCUCAUCAAGAAAAUGCAUCUUAAUUCAAGAAUUUUUGAUAUUUUUACUGAAAACAAGACAACAAUAGAAAGUAAGUCAUUUUUUGCAGUGUGACUCCAUUGAAUGUUCUUGUGUGUUAAAGAAAGUCUCUCUUUUUGUGUGUGGUGUUGUGUGAUGUAGAUUAAAUAUGACCGGGCCAAAACGGACAUGGCAGCAGGUCAAAAUCAAAAUCUGCAGAAUGCAGUGAAAAAGAAUACCCAGAGACAAGGCACGGGUGGUGGGUCACCAAAAGCUGACCUCACCCCAGCAGAGGCCAGCUUUGGAGCUAAAUAAAGGCAGGCCUGUUGGAGGGGAUCCCUGGGGGAAAAGAGAAAAGCAUAGGUCCCUCACAAGAUGCCACCCGCUUCAUACAAGGUAUGUUCUUCCAUCUCUACAUGGGACACAAUCACAUUCAUAUUGAAUCUAUUUGGACUGUCUGACUUUGGUUUGCCUAUUGCCUUGUAGUGUCUGGCAGCACUGUGUUACUGUUAAAGCCACCAGCACGAGCACCUGACGAUGCUGAUCCAGACCCAGAGUCAUUGGUGCACUGGACUGCACAAACAUAAGGAUAAAAGCCCCCUCAGGUGCCCAUGAGGCAGAUUUUGUAAAUAUGAAAUCUUUUUACAGCAUUAAUGUUCAGGUGAACAUAACUUUUUGAUCUUUUCCAUUGAACACUGGCAAAAUGGCCUGGCUCAGUCCAUGACUCCAGAAUCUUUUGGACCUCUGAAAUCUAUCAGCGCCUAUCACAAGGUGAAUUCUCUGGUGUGUUGCUGGUAGACAGGGGGUAAGGCUGCCAGCCGUUUUUCCUGACACCUUUCACAGACCCCCAGGAAGCACAGCAGGCCUACAACUAUGCCCAUGCUAGGGCCAGAGUUGAAAUGACCUUUGGCCUCCUGAAGGCACGCUCUCACUGCCUUCACAAAUUACGGGUCAGCCCUUUGAGGGAUUGUGACAUUACUGUGGCUUGUGGUGUCCUCCACAAUGUGGCCUGCCUGAGGAAGGAGAGGGCACCCAGAGUGCCGCCAGCCAUGGACUGGGACAAUCCGAAAAUCUUCCCUGAUGACAACAGUGGUCGGCUGCUGAGGGACCAAUAUGUGUUGAAUUAUUUUA